ACUCAUUAUCCUUUUGAGUCUGCUCAAGGCCCUGUUUUCUUAAAAAAUAUUAGGCUUGAGCUCUUUAACUCUUCCUUCUUGAAUAUUUCAUUCAAAAAUAUGAAACUUCAUUGAGAUAAGAUUUUAACUUUCUAAAACUUCUUUUAAAUACUCAAACAAUUUAUUAGAAUCAAAAUAUACUCAAAAUUUUGUUAUUCAUCAAAAUCAAAUCUA
rnacentral:lncRNA from 1 species